GUGGUAGAGCAUCUGCCUUGUAAGCAGAAGGUCCCCGGUUCAAUCCCGGGCGGAGGCA
rnacentral:tRNA from 1 species